CCUUGAAGUCGGGCAUUUGCAUCAACCAUGUCCAUCUUCACGAGCAAGGUGUCUACUUGACAUUGCAUUUGCGUAAUACUAAGAGUCUGCGUCACAGCUAUUAUAUACAAUUAUAAAGUCCAUGUUGACAGAUCAACAGCCUCUUAUCCAUGUUGAUCAAUUGAAGCUGAAGAUAUUUAAUCAAA